GAUGAACGCUGGCGGCGUGCCUAAUACAUGCAAGUCGAGCGAACAGACGAGGAGUUUGCUCCUCUGCCGUUAGCGGCGGACGGGUGAGUAAUACGUGGAUAACCUACCUAUAAGACUGGGAUAACUUCGGGAAACCGGAGCUAAUACCGGAUAAUAUAUUGAACCGCAUGGUUCAAUAGUGAAAGACGGUUUUGCUGUCACUUAUAGAUGGAUCCGCGCCGCAUUAGCUAGUUGGUAAGGUAACGGCUUACCAAGGCGACGAUGCGUAGCCGACCUGAGAGGGUGAUCGGCCACACUGGAACUGAGACACGGUCCAGACUCCUACGGGAGGCAGCAGUGGGGAAUCUUCCGCAAUGGGCGAAAGCCUGACGGAGCAACGCCGCGUGAGUGAUGAAGGUCUUCGGAUCGUAAAACUCUGUUAUUAGGGAGGAACAAAUGUGUAAGUAACUAUGCACGUCUUGACGGUACCUAAUCAGAAAGCCACGGCUAACUACGUG
rnacentral:rRNA from 1 species